UGCGGAGGGUGCAAGCGUUAUCCGGAUUCACUGGGUUUAAAGGGUGCGUAGGAGGGCAGGUAAGUCAGUGGUGAAAUCUUCGAGCUUAACUCGGAAACUGCCGUUGAUACUAUCUGUCUUGAAUACCGUGGAGGUGAGCGGAAUAUGUCAUGUAGCGGUGAAAUGCUUAGAUAUGACAUAGAACACCGAUAGCGAAGGCAGCUUGCUACACAAUCAUUGACACUGAGGCACGAAAGCGUGGGGGAUCAAACAGG
rnacentral:rRNA from 1 species